rnacentral:rRNA from 1 species
UACAGAGGUCCCAAGCGUUGUUCGGAUUCAUUGGGCGUAAAGGGUGCGUAGGCGGCGCGGUAAGUCGGGUGUGAAAUCUCGGGGCUUAACUCCGAAACUGCAUUCGAUACUGCCGUGCUUGAGGACUGGAGAGGAGACUGGAAUUUACGGUGUAGCGGUGAAAUGCGUAGAUAUCGUAAGGAAGACCAGUUGCGAAGGCGGGUCUCUGGACAGUUCCUGACGCUGAGGCACGAAGGCCAGGGGAGCAAACGGG